UAAUAAGUGUUUUAUGGCACUUUUUAAAUCCAUAUCCACCUUGUGUGCAAUGUCGGUCGAUCUUCUUUUUUUGAGGAUCGACCAAACAUCAACCUUUAUUUUUAACUCUUUGUCUGAAAAAUAUUAUGAAUAAACAAUUCGAAAUA
rnacentral:misc_RNA from 1 species